AUACUACUUCCUCCGUUCGGAAUUACUUAUCGCAGAAAUGGAUGUAUCUGGACGUAUUUUAGUUCUAGAUACAUCCAUUUUCAAGACAGGUAAUUCCGAACGGAGGGAGUACCUU
rfam:Triticum urartu cultivar G1812 contig1047621, whole genome shotgun sequence.